GUCUACGGCCACACCACCCUGAACGCGCCCGAUCUCGUCUGAUCUCGGAAGCUAAGCAGGGUCGGGCCUGGUUAGUACUUGGAUGGGAGAAAGCAAAGCACUAUUAUUGGCC
rnacentral:rRNA from 1 species